rnacentral:rRNA from 1 species
UACGUAGGGGGCAAGCGUUGUCCGGAUUUAUUGGGCGUAAAGAGCGUGUAGGCGGCCAUGCAGGUCAGCUGUGAAAACUCGAGGCUCAACCUCGAGACGUCGGUUGAAACCGUAUGGCUAGAGUCCGGAAGAGGAGAGUGGAAUUCCCGGUGUAGCGGUGAAAUGCGCAGAUAUCGGGAAGAACACCUAUGGCGAAGGCAGCUCUCUGGGACGGUACUGACGCUGAGACGCGAAAGCGUGGGGAGCAAACAGG